UACAGCUGGCAGACACCACCUAAAGAUCAAGAGUUGACCAUUCAUAAGGUCAAUAAACAAGUGCCGCUGUCUCCUCUCCCCUCUCACCCAUGCCACCUCCACCUCCACCUUCAAGGGCGGCAGCCAACCACCACAUCUCCGGCCACCGGAGUCUCAACCCCCCUCUCCAGCUGCUCCCAGUCUCGCGUAUCAUGUCCAUCUCCGCUCGCUGGUGGUUGCAGGUCGAGCUCCGUGGCCAACUCCUCCAUCGACGGUGAUGGCGCUAUCCCCGACGCGAUUCCUUCCAAACCAUCCCCGACGAGCCCACUUUCCUGAUGGUGGACGCAUGCCUCUCAACUCAAUGGACGGCUGCUUCUAAUAUGGAUGGAUGACUCCUCCUCACGCGGCGGAUUCGUCUCCUCUGCUCCUAGCGGCUCCUGCACAUGGAUACAAGUCACUUCAGCAAAAUGAAAUAAAUUUGGGCACUGGAAACCAGCUGCUUCUCACUCAGCGCAUUCGUCUCCUUGUCCCCUCCUAGCGGCUGCGACGACGAUGACGGUUACACUGAGGCACUAAUGCGGGGCUUUAAAGGAAUAAAAAGGAAAGAGCUGAUGACAGGCUUAGAAAGCAACAGAAGAAGAGACCAAGAUGAAGGAGUCUGAGCUAAUGCGAGGAAACCCGCUGAUCAAUAUGAAUAACUUCUGCUCCUUCGACGUGGAAGUAACAAUGCUGCCUACUAUAUUAUAUUGGUCAUGGAGAGACCAAGACACCGAAACGGUUCAUCAACUACACCGUCAUAAGUGAUUUCCACCGCAAGUUUCUGCAUAGGUACUAUGCCUCCUGCCUAGUGAGCUGCAGGUCUUCUUCCCCCAUCACCUGCAGGCAUUGACGACCACCAUGGCCUGCUGGAGCUCCUGCUCAGGUGAUGACGCACCCGUGCUCCUCCGACCAUGUUACUGCCGACGCCAUGUAGCGGCAACUUGCAGCAGGAUCCCCGACCCCUUCCCAACGAGCUGCCUGCAGGAUUCAAGCGGGCAUGUGAAGAUGAGAAGAGCAGCAAGCUGGUGGGCAAAGUCUUCUUCUGCAGUGACAACAACCUCAUGAGCACCGGGCUGCACGACCGCCUGCAGCUGCAACAGAGGAGCGGGAAUGAGCUGCAGGCACUAGACGACCAGGACCUGGCUAAGUUGCGUUCAAGUGACGAAUUGAUGGAGCUUAAGCUGGCCUUCAACGCCACAGCUAGGCAGAGGUUGGGCAGCUGGCCUGCUGACACCAAUGCCUAAU